AUUCCUUUGUAUGAUAAGCAUCCUGUCUUCCAUUUGGAUGGUCCACCCUUUUCUCCCUGGAGAGGACUCGAGCUGUGUAUGGCUAACUCGGACCUCUCAGCUGUCCGAGGGGACGAAAAUCCCUUUGUGGCGUGAAAAGAGAGGCGUUCCUGCCAUCCCCUCCCUCGAACUGAUUGGCUAUGUCACAAGAUGGCCAAAUCCACCCGGAUUAAUGUGCUGCAGGCCGGCCAAGGGCUGCGGUGUGUGGGGACCACGUCUGAGUCCAGCCCUUCGGGGGAUGUUUAUUCAUGGGCUACAUCUGCUGGCUGGCAGGCGACAUGUCUCUUGUUAGAAAGAAUGUCUGGGAGUCCCCAAGGAGCCAGGGACACGGGCACAUUCCUUCGGAGACCUGGCUUUCUCCCUUGCUCAGUUAAGCCUGGAGCUUUCUGGGCUCACCUGUCAUCUCGGCCCUCCACCCCAGCAGCCUCCUGAGGGGACCCACACUUCUUCCCUGGGGACUCUCUAUUCUCCUUUCCCGCCUUCAGAGCUAGGAGAACCCUUUCUCUCUUUGAUUAAAGCUUUUUAAUUUAUAAAUUUUUUGUCCUUGCCAGUUCUACCUGAAGCUCCUCCGUUUUUGUAGCUUCUCUGCAUGCAUAGUCCCAGGCCUUAUAAAACAGCUGAGAUUAAGGACGUGUGAGGAGGCCAUAUGGAAACCUAUUACUCCUAAGCCAACUUUAAAAAUAAAUUUAAAAACAUGUUUAAAUGGAGGGCCUCAACAUGGAUGGAUAAAGCUGCUUCCAGAAUCAUUGGGUAUGAACUGAAAAAUCGCAGUGCCAGGGAUGAGAUACCUCUGAGUGAGCUGAUGGCCAGCCAGGUCAUAGAGACCCUCAAACAGAACGGGCCUUGCCUGGCUCUGGGUUACUCACAGAGCUAGAUGGUAAUUCCCUACUGACGACGCUACACACUUCAGCAGCAGGAAGUAAAACCAAGCUGGAAGCUUACUACUUAUGGGCCAGCUCUCCUUGUGCCAGAAGGUGCUUCACGAGGCUCUGGGAGAGAAAAUGAGUUAACGAUCCUUCCUGACCUGGCUGCGGACCCUGCGUAUCUCACAAUGAAAUGGCAAGGCAACAUGUGUCUGCUGCUGCAACAGUGGCAGGAGAGUUAUAGGAGUAGCCAGUUGCUCUCUGAUUGGAUUUGAGGCCAGUUCUACAGAGGGGAAAUCAUGCCUGAUAUUGUAGAUCUGGCCAAAAGUCUGAGCCUAGGGACCUACGCCCUAGGGGGGAGCCUCAUACUGUGUGUGCUAAUUGGACAGCAGCAAACCACUUCUAAAUAUUCUAAAUAUUAGGUUUGCUUUCAUAAAUUGAUACUACUUGCAGCCUCAGACACAGAAGUUUCUUUAUGCAAGGGGUAAGGUGGAUGCAGAGGUGUACAGAUGGCCAAGUCACCAAGAAGAAGCGACUGGUUCGUGCUCAGCCCUCAACAUGAACCACACCGUCCAAGGCUCAGGGAACCUUGUGAAAGAGGCAGAGAGACCGUGAAAGAGGAAGGAGGGUGAGACGUGGGACCAGGAAUGCCUUCAUCGGGACAGACAAAUCCGACCACCGAACACGGACUCACAGUGGGGGGAGGGUUCCUGCACAUGACUGAGCCCGUCAUUGUCUCGGCACAGGUGAGGGUCUCAGAGGAUGCGGUAUGUCUGUGGCUGACCUUUGGUCAGCCCACUUGUCUCUCUCUAGUGGAGUCUUUGGAAAGCAAAGGCUGCUGGGUGAAGGAACAAAUGAAUACAAGGAGUGAAGCUUUGGGCUGGACCCACAUGCCGAGGCCUCUGGGAUGCUGGGAUCACUGUGGGCAGUGUCUCUUCCUCCCAUCUGUGUACUUGGACUAGAUUUUUUUCUGAUAUGUCUUUCCGUUCAUCCUGGGUGCAUUCAGAAGCUUAGACACUGAAGGCAAAAGAAAGCUCUGACACGGGGUGUACUGAGGCACCCACACCCGAUUUGGGGGAACAAGAUGUCCCUUCCUGUCCCUCCCAGGUAAAUCUGUAUGUAGGAUCAGCUCCAUGACAGUGAAGCCAAUGAUGAUUUUAUGAUUGACAGCUGGGAAUGUCAUCAUUUACUCCUCUGUGUGUGUGCAUGUGUGUGUGUAGGUGUACAUAUCGAAGUGCAUAUGUGUGUGCAUACAUGCAAGAGAAAGAGGUCAAUGUCUACUGUUUGUGCUUUAAUUUAUCUCUCACCCCCCAUUUUCCAUUCUCACGCAAGCUCACCUGGAACUCAUCACUGCCUUGAACUCAGAGCGAUCUUCCUACCUCCACCUUACUUCUCGAGACAGGGUAUCUCACUGAAUCCAGAGCUCACUGAUUCUAACUAGGCAGCUUGCCCUGGGGAUCCACCUAUCUCUACUUCCUCAGUGCUGGGAUUACAGGCAAGGGCUGCCAAACUCAGCACUUAAGGGGGUGCUGGGGAUUUGAGCUCAGAUCUUCAUGCUUGCAUGGCAAGUGCUUUAUAGACUGAGCCCUCUCCUACCCCUGUUUUCACUAUUUUCUAAUGUAAAUAUAGACUUCCGGUAACAACCUAUAUGUUUUUAGAACUGUGGGCUAGGGAGAAAUGCAGAGAAGAAUGAACAAAGGCCAUUAGAAGUUUAAGGACAAGCCAGGUUAGGUGCUGUAAGCGAGGAAGUAGCAGUAGGUAGACAAAGCUGUGCGCCGAGGUCAAGCGGCUAGUGUUCACGCUGGACUGUGCUUGGUCCUGGCUUGUAAGUGUGGGGGAGGGGAGAUGUUCAGGGGUGGAUACAGAGCGUACAUGAGGCAGCCAACUCUUAGGAUGAGAAGUAGGGCAUCUUUUCGGUGCACGGCCUGGAAGCCCGUCUCAGGGGACAGUGGGGAUGUGGAAGAUGAUCACAGGGCCACUUUCAUCUGCGCAUGUGACUUAAAGAUGUUCCAGUGUAUCUGCCCUUCACACUUCAGCAUGACUGAGUCAAUCCCAUUGCUCUCUUACGUCUGCACUGAUUUGAGCUGCUCUGCUCAAUAGGGACUUCAUUGCUAGGCGUACGCCUGGUAGGGAAAGGGCUAAAUGAAGGCUAAGAAUUUGUAACACUUCAGAGAAAGAACCUGAGGACAGUGAAGAAAAAUGCAGAAAGGGAAAGCUGUGGUUGAUAAGAAGUCUUCUCUCUCUCUCUGUCUAUCUCUUUAUUUUCUCAAUAUAUUGUCCAAGAUCAUCUCUUUUUUUGUUGUUUCUUUUUUUAAACAACUUCCAUGACUGUAAACACUAUCCCAUGGUAAUUCCCUCCCCUCAGUUUCUCCUUUGAAACUCCAUUCUCCAUCAUA